CCUACGGGACGCAGCAGUGGGGAAUAUUGCACAAUGGGGGAAACCCUGAUGCAGCGACGCCGCGUGAGUGAAGAAGUAUCUCGGUACGUAAAGCUCUAUCAGCAGGGAAGAAAAUGACGGUACCUGACUAAGAAGCCCCGGCUAACUACGUGCCAGCAGCCGCGGUAAUACGUAGGGGGCGAGCGUUAUCCGGAUUUACUGGGUGUAAAGGGGGCGCAGACGGCCAUGGCAAGCCCGGUGUGAAAGGUGCGGGCACAACCCGCAGACUGCACUGGUGACUGCCUGGCUGGAGUGCCGGAGGGGGA
rnacentral:rRNA from 1 species